AAUCUCUAGCAGCCGCAGAGCCACCCUUCUUCCUCUUUCACUCUCUCAUUCUCAUGUCCAUCUCUUAUCAACAUCGCUAUCUUGCAGCACAUCUGUGAAGUUUUGACCAUAUUAGGUCAGGUACAGGUACGGAUUCUUCCGUACAAGACCCUCGGUGAAUGGCGAGUCCGCGUAACAUAGGGCAAAACUACAAGACCCUUGGCGGCGGCGGCGGGGGUCAGUAUGUGUUGGACUAUCUGAAGCGAAUGCAAGCUGAGAAUCCUUGUUUCUUUUAUGCAAUUCAGGGAGUUGAUGACCUCUCCAAUGCAAAUGCAAAUAAUGUGAAUGUGAAUAAUGUGUUUUGGGCUGAUGCAGCUUCCAAGGCCAACUACAUCUAUUUUGGGGACGCUGUUAGACUUGACACUUCUUACAGGUCCAAACGCUAUAGACUACCACUUGCUACCUUCACCGGCCUCAAUCAUCACGCGCAACCUGUUCUGUUUGGCUGUGCAUUGCUCUUCAACGAGUCCCAGAGCUCCUUUAUUUGGCUUCUUCAGAAUUGGGUUCAAGCUAUGUCUGGACACCAUCCUGUCUCCAUCACCACUGAUCUUGAUCCCCUCAUCAAGAUGGCUGUUGAGCAUGUUCUUCCAAAUGUACGUCAUCGUUUUUGUAGUUGGAGCAUAUUCAAAGAAACCCAGGAGAAGCUAGCUUCUGUUUGUCAAACAAAAACAAAAACAAAAACAAACCCUGCCUUCGAGUUCGAGAUGGAGUUUAAGAAGUGCAUCAAUGAAGUUGAGACAAUCGAGGAGUUUGAGUCAUGUUGGCUCUCACUUCUAGAUAGAUGUGCUUUGACGGAUAAUGAAUGGCUUCAGUCACUUUACAAUGCUCGCCAUCACUGGGCGCAUGUCUACAUGCGAGACACCUUCUUUGGGGACCUUUCCAUGGCCGAGGCAAGUAGCCCUGUAAACUCUUUUUUUGACGGUUUUGUGAAUGCAUCCACUACCAUACAGUCAUUGAUUAAACAAUGUCAGAAAGCUAUAACAAGCUGGCAUGAAAAAGAAUUAAAGGCAGAUUUGGAUACUAUUAAUAUAACCCCCGU
rnacentral:lncRNA from 1 species